UACGUAGGGUGCAAGAUUUAAUCGGAAUUACUGGACGUAAAGCGUGCGCAGACGGUUUUGUAAGUCUGUUGUGAAAUCCCCGGGCUUAACCUGGGAAUGGCAAUGGAGACUGCAAGGCUAGAGUUUGGCAGAGGGGGGUAGAAUUCCACGUGUAGCAGUGAAAUGCGUAGAGAUGUGGAGGAACACCGAUGGCGAAGGCAGCCCCCUGGGUCAAGACUGACGCUCAUGCACGAAAGCGUGGGGAGCAAACAGG
rnacentral:rRNA from 1 species